UAGUAACGGCGAGUGAAGCGGCAACAGCUCAAAUUUGAAAUCUGGCUCUUUUAGAGUCCGAGUUGUAAUUUGCAGAGGGCGCUUUGGCUUUGGCAGCGGUCCAAGUUCCUUGGAACAGGACGUCACAGAGGGUGAGAAUCCCGUACGUGGUCGCUGGCUAUUGCCGUGUAAAGCCCCUUCGACGAGUCGAGUUGUUUGGGAAUGCAGCUCUAAAUGGGAGGUACAUUUCUUCUAAAGCUAAAUAUUGGCCAGAGACCGAUAGCGCACAAGUAGAGUGAUCGAAAGAUGAAAAGCACUUUGGAAAGAGAGUCAAACAGCACGUGAAAUUGUUGAAAGGGAAGCGCUUGCAGCCAGACUUGCUUACAGUUGCUCAUCCGGGUUUUUACCCGGUGCACUCUUCUGUAGGCAGGCCAGCAUCAGUUUGGGCGGUAGGAUAAAGGUCUCUGUCACGUACCUCCUUUCGGGGAGGCCUUAUAGGGGAGACGACAUACUACCAGCCUGGACUGAGGUCCGCGCAUCUGCUAGGAUGCUGGCGUAAUGGCUGUAAGCGGCCCGUCUUGAAACACGGACCAAGGAGUCUAACAUCUAUGCGAGUGUUUGGGUGUCAAGCCCGAGCGCGUAAUGAAAGUGAACGGAGGUGGGAACCCGCAAGGGUGCACCAUCGACCGAUCCUGAUGUCUUCGGAAGGAUUUGAGUAAGAGCAUGGCUGUUGGGACCCGAAAGAUGGUGAACUAUGCUUGAAUAGGGUGAAGCCAGAGGAAACUCUGGUGGAGGCUCGCAGCGGUUCUGACGUGCAAAUCGAUCGUCAAAUUUGGGCAUAGGGGCGAAAGACUAAUCGAACUAUCUAGUAGCUGGUU
rnacentral:rRNA from 1 species